rnacentral:lncRNA from 1 species
UAUGUUUUGCCGACCAACAUCUGUUAGCCCUCCCAUAGCAGGAUUUCACGUUACCAACAGAAUGUCCAUCAAGUUACAUAUUCGUACAUAACAAUAACAUGCAUCAUUCAACAAUAUUAAACCAGAACCAAACAAUAGUCAUACACAUUCAUUAAUUUUCACAUAUAAAUAGUUCAUUUGUUAUGAACCAAUGAGCAGCCAAGUUUGCUAUAAAUAAACUAAUGUAACUAAUUAAAUAGAGGAAACUUGAUAGUUCAUUGUCUGAGAGCAAAAGUUCAUCACUUUGUUUUCUGCAAAACAUCAUCUGCCUUGGCUCCUUGUAGUGGGCAACUACUACCCAUCCUCACAGCUUUCCAGCAAGAUCGUUUCAUCAUUCUCGCACUUGACAUCAAAGCCUUCGUUCUUCAUCCCAUUGGAGAACAUUCUCCAGCUUGAACAUCUGCAAGUCAAAAUACCCAAUAAAUAUUCCGCACCAACUACAGACCAUUAUAUUUUCUCUAAGCUGCCUUCAACAUCAUUUCAUACCAAAGCAACUGAAGAUAACUCAUUACCACUGAGACAGGAAAAGGGGUACCCUUCUAGAAAUUUUAGAAGGGCGCGUACCUUUAGCACACCUCUUUUGUGUUUCCUAUAUCCUGAGAUACAAUGUAUCCUGGUCUAUGUGCCCAUGGGGGAUAACUACCUACAUGCUAUUCCUACAUAAAUGAAAGGAGUAAGAAAUCGGAUGAUUAAGAAAAAGUAGCAACUGAUUAAGAACAGGUAGCAGCGAAAGCAUUUGCUAAGCAUCUGCAACAUGAUAAAGGAUAUUUCAAUUAGUAUCAUGAGGCUUGCAGAGUACAGAAACCAAUUACCAUUGCAAAAUCAGCACACAAGGAGAAAAAACAUUACAAACAUAACUACACCAGUAUAGAACAGAGCUCACUGGAAUAUAAGUAAAACUACGAAGUUGGCAAACACAAAAAUAAAUCUAAAAAGGGGAGAGAAAUCAUGCAGGAAGAAGUGAAUAUGUUCAAGAGACCCUAGAGAGAGAGAAAGAGAGAGAAAGAGAGAGAGAGAGAGAGAGAGAGAGAGAGAGUUCACCUUUUUCUGAUUCACAAAUACAUAACACUUAGUUUUUUGCUGUAUCGCUUGCUUUAUGAACUAAUAAUCCAUCUAUAUCUGUCAUAGGAACUAAAGAUAUCAUUUAUGUUGGGGUUUGCUACUACAUAUUGUGUUGCUAAUAUAGUAAUGCUAAUGAAGGCCAUUUGUAUUUGGCAUUUUCUUAUAUGAACAUGACAACAAAACUAUCGCUAGCAGAAUAGAAACUUGAGUAAAUUCUCAUUUCAGAGAUAUGGAAGUGAUCAUGUUCAGUGGUUCGAAUUUUUAGUAAAAAAAAUGUGAAGAAUAGUUCUGAAGUUGUUUCCAUGUUCAUUUGCGUCGAUGUACACCCAGAAUUCAGCAGACAACAACAUAGCAAGGUUGACAAGCAGCACACCAGCAAGAUCUAACAUAGUUUCACAUCAUUACAUUUUUUAGCUAGAUAUGAUGCACACUACAAAGCCGGAACCUAGAAGCUGCACAUGGAUUACAAAGUUGUUGUUGUGCACCGGUUGUCAUAGUGGAGUUUUAGUACAACAAAUAUCAAAAUUCCAUAGUUAUAGAAGUGUAUUAAUUAGCCAUGCAUAAUAAUACAAGUCCUUUAAUUGGAAGCACUCCAACGCUCAGAUGUAAACAAAGAAGCUUUGGAAUCCAUAAAGUGAGCAUUUCAGCAAGGACAACACCCACUAGCAACUAAUUGUUAAUUUGGAAUGUGAACAUCAGUAAAACCAUGAUAGCAGAACAGGCCAAGAGCGACUAAGUAAAUGAUUUGGUCUUUUCACUGGACAUCGAAACUGUACAUAAAGACAAGGGAACAUGGCAGAAUACCAUGCCACUAGAUGAGAACAAAAUAAAGUCAAGGAAGCUGCUGUCCAUUGGGUGAUACAACAUAGAAUUAAUUGUGCGACAUUUUCAUCAACCCGUGCAUACUCCCUUAAUCAUAGUUGUAGAAUAAGACCAUAAUUUAAAAGAGUUCCCUUUAGAUAUCCUGCGUGAAGUAUUACAGCACAAUGGUUUGCAUUAAUGACACUUCUAACAAAUAUCUUAAUAUACAUACAUUGGAAUUUAACCACAGACAGUAUAUAUAAAAUACGUUGUGUAUUUCACUUCAUAGGAUUUCUGUACACCACUGAUCAUGAUCUUACAGUAUGCGCAUAUACCUCUUUAUUUCUCUAAUCACAUAGUAAUAAACUUACAUUGGAAGGGAUACUAAAUAGAGUUUUUGGAGAAAAUAGCGAUGAAAUCCACAAUUAGUACUUCUGAUAACAUUAGAUGAGAGAGAGAGAGAGUAGUGCAGUUUUUAUUUUGUCGCAAAGAUGCAUGUGCGAGUGUACUUAUCUAGGAAAUUAAUUUAAAAAAAUGACAUAGUUCUUUUGAUAACCUUCUACGCCACGCAUUAACCCUUGGGGUGCUCGCUCUUUGUCUCGAUGGUAGCCUUCUUCACAGCCUUGAUAUAGUGUUCCCUUAUUCAUGAGUUACGCUAGCACCACUUGCUCAUUGGAACACAUACUCAUCAUGGUGGUCUCUUUGUGAUACAGAAAAAAAUUGUGGGGAUAUUGCUCAGAUUCAGAAGGCAUUGUAUGUAUUUUUUGACUUAAUUUUUAUUUAUCAUUUUUUCUUACAUGGAAACAAUAUAUUUGCGCAUAGUAUAAGUUAUAUGUACAAAGCAUAGUGAAAAGGUUCAAAUAGCAUAAGACUGUUAUAAUCAAUAUGCAUGAUUAAAGAAGCAUUAAAGAAGCAUACAUUCGCCUAUUUUUCUCAUAUAAUUUUCAAAUUCAUCAAUAAAAGCUAUAGAAAAGCUAACCUUGUGUGACCAAAUACGGGUCAAAUUGGAAAUUGUUCUGUUCAUCCCAUACAUUCGUAACUAUGCUCAUACACAUGCUAAGAAAUUAACCUCUCCUUGCUUUGGAUGCCUCGUAACUAUGCUCAUACACAUGCUAAGAAAUUAGCUCAAGUUAACCUAUAUAUUUUAAAGAACCAAGAGAACCAUGCAACUGAGUGCUGCAAAUACAGUACAUACAAGUGUUUUUCUUCAUAAAUAGUGGCAUAUUAUUGCGAUUACCAUUAUCUUUUCUGGGAAGCACGACAAAGACAUAAAAGUUAACUGUAUAACUUAUUUAAGUUUACUGAGCAUCAUAAUAUGACCAACCGUGAGAUUAAUUAUCUAAUGCUAUAUAUGUUUCUCCACAUGUUUCAGAUGCCUUGAAUCAUUUCCCGAAAAAGAGGACGUCCUAAAUCAUAGAGGCCGCUAUAUAACAUAUUUAGCUAUCCAGAUUGCCAGAU